AUUGAACGCUGGCGGCAUGCCUUACACAUGCAAGUCGAACGGUAGCGGGCCUUCGGGUGCCGACGAGUGGCGAACGGGUGAGUAAUGUAUCGGAACGUACCAUUGAGUGGGGGAUAACGUAGCGAAAGUUACGCUAAUACCGCAUAUUCUCUCCGGAGGAAAGCAGGGGACCGCAAGGCCUUGCGCUCUUUGAGCGGCCGAUAUCAGAUUAGCUAGUUGGUGAGGUAAAGGCUCACCAAGGCGACGAUCUGUAGCGGGUCUGAGAGGAUGAUCCGCCACACUGGAACUGAGACACGGUCCAGACUCCUACGGGAGGCAGCAGUGGGGAAUUUUGGACAAUGGGGGCAACCCUGAUCCAGCCAUGCCGCGUGAGUGAAGAAGGCCUUCGGGUUGUAAAGCUCUUUCGGCCGGGAAGAAAUCGCAUGGGUUAAUACCCUGUGCGGAUGACGGUACCGGCAUAAGAAGCACCGGCUAACUACGUGCCAGCAGCCGCGGUAAUACGUAGGGUGCGAGCGUUAAUCGGAAUUACUGGGCGUAAAGCGUGCGCAGGCGGUUUUGUAAGACAGGCGUGAAAUCCCCGGGCUCAACCUGGGAACUGCGUUUGUGACUGCAAGGCUAGAGUACGGCAGAGGGGGGUGGAAUUCCACGUGUAGCAGUGAAAUGCGUAGAGAUGUGGAGGAACACCAAUGGCGAAGGCAGCCCCCUGGGUCGAUACUGACGCUCAUGCACGAAAGCGUGGGUAGCAAACAGGAUUAGAUACCCUGGUAGUCCACGCCCUAAACGAUGUCAACUAGGUGUUGGGUGGGUAAAACCAUUUAGUACCGGAGCUAACGCGUGAAGUUGACCGCCUGGGGAGUACGGCCGCAAGGUUAAAACUCAAAGGAAUUGACGGGGACCCGCACAAGCGGUGGAUGAUGUGGAUUAAUUCGAUGCAACGCGAAAAACCUUACCUACCCUUGACAUGUCCAGAAGCCUGAAGAGAUUUGGGUGUGCCCGAAAGGGAGCUGGAACACAGGUGCUGCAUGGCUGUCGUCAGCUCGUGUCGUGAGAUGUUGGGUUAAGUCCCGCAACGAGCGCAACCCUUGUCGUUAAUUGCCAUCAUUUAGUUGGGCACUUUAACGAGACUGCCGGUGACAAACCGGAGGAAGGUGGGGAUGACGUCAAGUCCUCAUGGCCCUUAUGUCCAGGGCUACACACGUGCUACAAUGG
rnacentral:rRNA from 1 species